ensembl:lncRNA
AUGCUGGUUGGUGUGAGGGGCUUCCAUGCCAUCUCUGCUGCCGUGGAGGCCCAGCAGUCCUCUGGCUGGGCACCUCCUCGGCCGGCACCCAGGGCUUCUCCUCAGCCACAUUGUUUCCUCUGGUCUCUGCAGCUGCCAGGAUGGAGUAAUGACUCCGUGGCCAGGCCCCACCAGCACCUGCCGUGGGCUCCCAGAACUCACAGACAGCGAGGACUGCCAGCAGUACCCACCUGGACAGGAGCCGGGCCCACAGUGCUCCAGCUGCAUUUUCUGCUCUCUGCACUACUUUGGAGGCAGAAGCCCCAGCUGCCAGCCCUGCCCCUCAGGUUACUUCCAGUCAUGUGGAGCUGCCUUUGUGCUGCGCCGUGCCAGGAGCUGCAAGGACAAGAGGGAGGCGCCCCACCAGGACGCCAGCUUCUGCUCAGCAGGUCAGUGCUGAGUUCUGCCUUCUGCCUGCAAGACAGGAAGAGUGGCCUGGACUCUACCUUGCUCAUUGGGUACUUAUCAAACGCUAACGGAGGCUCAUGUCAGGGGACUAACAGCAGCCCGGGCAGCAAGUCCGGGCACCAGUCAAGACCCCCCAGGAAAGCCACACCCGGGAUGCAGCCAGGCCUCAACAGGCCCCAGCUCUGGGAACUCCAUGUUCUCUGGGUUCAGCUGGGGAAAUCAGAGCCUGUCUAGAAAGGUCAAAGGCAGCCUGGAUUGUUCAACCCAGAGCUGCCAGUAAAGACAGAGGGUUGACAGGGCUGGGAAUCCCCAGUGCCGAGGACAGGAGAAAAAGAAAUGAGAAGUUUUAAAGUGAAGAGCGAGAAUGUCAGUAGGUACAUGGGAGGCCUUUCCUGGGAGCGGUCAGGAGCCUGGACCUAAAAAACGCUGGGCCAGGGACGGCCCAGAUCUGCUAUGCACAGGCUGUGUGAUAUCAGCAAGGUCCUUUGCCUCUCUGAGUCUCAUCUUUACGCUAGAGGCAGUGAUACCCCUUUCCUGGUAACCAGGGAUGGCGGAAGCUCCUGCACUCCCAGGCCCAUGGGAGGGUCAGGUGUGGCCAAGGCCUACGAAGCUUUUGCUGCUUUUCUUGUCACUGCUUCCCUUGAGAAAGAAAACUGCUCUCCCCAGUUCUCAGCCUGUGUCUUCGGUGCCCUGCGGGACACUUCUGCCCCAAGAGAGCCACCCGCCCCAUCCCAUGCCAGCCGGGUACAUUUGGCCCCCGCUCAGGCCAGGAUGAAGCCACAGACUGCACCCCUUGCCCAGCAGGCAGGGCCUGUACCCAGGCUGGGCUGACACAGCCCGAUGCAGCGUGCUCACCGGGGUAAGUGCCCGCCAUUUCUCAGUGAUGAGUGUCCCGAUGGGGGCCAGAGCUGUCCUCCUAACACCUUUAGAGAGUCAGUCCCUGGUCAAGGCCAGACUUCUCCAGCCUCUGACUCUCUCAGGGUUCAGAGAGGGCUGUGCCUUCAGAUCAAGGCUCUGUCUCAGCCAGCCCAGGGCUCCUGGACUUGCCCCCGAGCACUGAGGCUCAGCACUCUCGGGUCCAUCCCUGCUCAGGAGGCAUCUAGGGAGCCGUCUUCCUGGCUUUGUCCAUGGGGAAAGUAGCUCAGAGAGGCCAGGUUACCAUGCAGACUCACACAGCAGGCCGGGGGCACAACAGGAUCUGGCCAUGACUCUCCAAGAUGCUGGGCUCUGCGUGGUAGGCACCAGGUGCCAACUCCCCUGCUGCUGUAGGUACGCGUGCCCUUCAGGCUCCUCCAGUCCCCACGCUCCCUCCCAUGCCUGCCCUCCCGGGACCUUCAGCAACCGCAGUGACCUCUCCGACCCAUCGCAGUGUGAGAUCUGCCCCGAGGGACUAGCCUGUCCUGGGGGUAAGUGAGGAGGGGGACAGUGGCCUUACCACCUCAGGACCCUGCCUUUGGGUGAAAAACUGGUCCCACCCCAGGGCAGGGAGGCCAGGACAACAGACCCUGACCCAUAGCCCCUUCAUUCCUCACAAAGAGCAUUGCUGACCCCUCCAUGGGGAGCCCAAAGGAUGGGGCCAUUAAAAGCACCCUGAGUCCCGACCCUGCUAUCUUGAGUAAGGCGGUCUCAGGGGCUGUUAAUCCAGAUACCCCCUGCCCUGAGACAAGGCCCUAGCCCAUGUCCCUGCCACCUGACAGGGGUUGUGGCUGGAGAGGGGCAGCAGCCCUUCAGGCCUAGUUCAAGACUGUGUUUGCAGGAACCGGGGGCCCAGACUAGCCCCCCAUCCCCUGCUCAGCUGGCCAUUAUUGCCCUCCUGGCACCAAAAAGCCCACCCAGUUCCAGUGUCCUCCCGGCACCUGGAGUAACCGGACUGGAUUGACCAUGAGCAAGGAGUGUGUGCCCUGCCCCAGGGGCUGGUUCUGUGUCAGUGGAGCUCGGGUGCCCUCGGGGACAUGCAGGGCCGGGCAUUACUGCCCACGAGGUGAGUGGGGCCAGACUCUGCCCUGGCAAAGUUGCAGGCAAGUGCCAGGAGAGGGUGCCAUGGGCUGGCCUGUGCACCUCCUCUGGAGCAGAUGCAGCAGGGGAGGCCUGGUGUGCAAAGGGAGAGAUGAAGGUUCUAUUUCAGGACCACCUUCCUGAGAGGAGGGCUGGGAGGAGCAGGAAGGUCGGGGAGGCUGUGUGGACAGAGGCCACCAGCUGGUUGGGGGCUGGAAGGGAUUGGUCAGCCUCGGGCCUCCUAACUGGGGGUUCCCAGGUGUCUCAGCCCAAAGCACAGCUUUCUAAAGACGGUGUCCUGGAGAGUGACACCCCCUCUCCCUGCCCCAUCCCCAGUGGCCUCCCCUGGGAACUGUCUCCAGGCAGCAGGUGAGGAGCUGGUGUGCCAGUGUGCCAGUGAUGACACAGGUCUGACUCCUUUUUCUUCCUCUGAGCCCCUCUUCUCUCUGAAACAGGGACGAAGUGGGGGACACAGUUCCCUUGCCCGGCAGGCACGUACAGCUCCCAGACAGGCAACAGCCAGCUCGAGGACUGCCUGCCCUGCCCCCCAGGAGCCUUCUGCCCCAGUGGGGUCCCUGAGCCGGAGCUCUGCCCACAGUAAGGAGGCCGCAUGUGUGGUUGUUAUUGAGGCCAAAUCACCACCUUUAUUGUGUGCCUCCUGGAGCCCAGCACUGGACACUGGUACCAAGGGAGAGGAGGGCCUGGCCUGCCCUCAGGACCUGGCCACCUUGUUGAAACAGGACACACAGAAACAGGAUGAGCUGGACCCAGGGCUCCAGGUGUCCCAGGUGAAGGGCACCCUUACAGUCAGUAUGUUGAACAAGGGGGAAUCACUCUGGGUUACAGUCAGUGGAGAAGCCAUCAGCUUGAGGUCACUCGAUUCAGUCUUAAAAGAUGGGCAGGGUGCCAGGCACAGUGGUUCACAUGUGUAAUCCCAGUGACUGGAGUAACCGGCCUGGAUUGACCGUGAGCGAGGAUUGUGUGCUGAGGCAGGAAGAUUACUUGGGGCCAGGAGUUUGAGACCAGCCUGGGCAACAUGGCAAAACCCCAUCUCUAAAAAAAUACAGAAUUAGCCAGGCAUGGUGGCCUGUAGUCCCAGCUACUCAGAAGGCUGAGAUGGGAAGAUCACUUGAGCCCAAAAGUUCCAGGCUGCAGUGAGCUAUGGUCGUGCCAUUCUACCCCAGCCUGGGCAACAGAGCAAGACCUCAUCUCUAAAAUUAUAAAAAAUUAAUUUAAAAGAUGAGCAGAAUCCAAGGAGGGGUGUGAAGGUAUCCCUGUUGAAGCAGCCCCUGUCCAGCCCACUACCCUGAAAGAAGCUGCCACAGAGCUGCCCACUCUAAAGGCCAAACCCCUCCUGAAGCUAAUUGCAGCAGAGAUCUCAGGAGAGAUCAUUUAGCCCAAGCUGUGGGAUUAUCUGUGGAUUUUACUGUUCCGUUAAAAUGUGCCUUUUAUUCCACUGGUCAAAAAGAAAACUUAGGGUUGGUCUUACUAAAACAAAGCAAGACACAUUCUUCAUGUAAAAAGUGGAAAUGACAUCGAUCAAAAGAAAUUUCAGAUCAAAUGCAGAUUUCAAUUUUAAAAAGCCAAAAUCAUAAACAUCACAAAGCAUAAAUAGGUGUUUAUAAAAUUUGACAGAAUGUGGAAAAUCUAAGCCCGGGCAACAAAAGUGAAACUCUGUCUCAAAAAAAAAAAAAGUGACCCAACCUUCCUGGCAGCUUGCAAGCAAGGGUUUAUAAAGGCAGGGGUAAAUUUCAGGAAAGAAAUUUACCCUCAUACAGGCAAAAUUGUAAACCAAGACAUGGAGGUUACACAUCGGUUUGGCCUAACACGGCAAUCCAUCUUGAAGCAGGGCCUUCCGGGUCAGAGGUGGAGUCAAAGAUUCUCUGAUUGGUUAAGGCAUUGAAGCUCUGUCUAAUCGCUUAGGGUCAGCAGAAAGGGAUGUUAAGGUCUGGCCUGUGGGCGUGCCAGGAGCCCCCAGGCAGAAAUUUAGAACAAAGCACUGCAGCAGUCAGAGCUCAGUCCUCACUGCCUCCUUAUCUGAGGACUGCCUGCCAGGGGCCCAUUUGCUGGGGGUCCUGGUUUCUGAAAAGCAAUCAGGGGCAUAUGCUAAGAUGGCAUCUUUAGCUUCCGGAGAAAAGCAAACCUCUUGUGUCUCUGACUUCCUUGGCCACUGUUCAAAGCUACAAUUACCUUCUCACUUACCGGGCUGCUCAUUCACUCCUCAGGGCUAGUGAGGUGCUGGCCUUUCCCUUGAAGGAACUCAAGAUUUGUCUUUAUUUCCAUGCUGGGAGGGUGGUGGGUAGCAGGAUCCUAAGAGGGGUCCCUGCUGCAUCUCAAAGACAACUUUAGAAAGAAGCACAAUGAGCCUGGUUUUUAAAUCUCCUGCCCUGCAAUCUCCAGCUGAGGCCACGCCCUCAACCUCCCCGACAGGGUCUCCUAAGGCUCAGGCGGGCUGGGAGUUCUGCCCUUACACUCUGAGGGGAAGCUGGGGGACAGUGGAGGGCUCCAGCCUUGGAGAAAUGGUGACUUCAUGGGUGGGGACUCUUCCCCAGGAAGGCUGUGGGCAUCCACCCUCAGCUCUCUCACCCCCUCUAGGGGAACCUACCAUCAAGGUCCAGCUGCCAAGCUGGCUGUGGCCUGUGUGCCUUGCCCUGCUGGUCACCACUGCCCCGAGAGGGGCACCACCACGCCACAGCCGUGCAGCACUGGCAGCUUCUCUGUAAGUGUUCCCAGAACAGACUCCAUACUCAGAGGGCUCUGAAGAGCGGGGGAUCCUAAAGUCGGGAGAUGCCUGCCCCAGCCUGCCCCAAUGGUGACUCCCCAGAGCUCUGCUCAGGCAGGGGGAACGCACAACUGCAGGGAGAAUCCUCUGCUCCAGUGUGGAGUUGGGAGCUGGGCAGGCCUCCAGAUGCUUCUUCUAGGGCAGAGGGGCAGGCCUGGGCCCUUGCUCCCUGGGCCAGCCU